ensembl:lncRNA LINC03076 long intergenic non-protein coding RNA 3076
GGGCAGGAGCAAUGAAGGGAAGAAAGGCUUCAACUGACCCCUCGACCUGAAGGCCCACAGCCGGGAACACCGGCAAGGAGAACACAAGAGAAUGCACGGGAAAACACAAGUCAAAAACAAUGCUCUAUGCAACUCAUUUUCAUCUAGCAUUACCUCUCCAAAACCUGAAUCUCCACAAGAAAGCCACACAGCAAUUAACCAGUGUUGCAAGAACUGCUUCUGUAAUAAAGGUGGGAAGACAAAUUGAUGCAACCCUCUUGAAAAGCAAUCUGGCAAUAUGAACCAAGAGCCAUGAAAAGGCUUAUGCUAUUAUAAUUAAAUGGCUGUAAUGUUGGCUGUAAAUAUGAAAUUUUCUUUCACACACCAAUGUUUUCAAGAAUGGCAUAUUCACAUGCAGUAUGUGAUGAAAGAAGCAGUAAAGGAUGCUAACAAAGCUAUUUCUUUGGACAAUCUGAACCUGACGGAGUCUUACUCUGUCGCCCAGGCAGGAGUGCAAUGGCACAAUCUUGGCUCACCACAACCUCCGCCUCCUGGGUUCAAGUGACUCUCCUGCCUGGCCAUAGAAGCAAACACAAACAUAGAGGAAUUGGCUUUGGGCAGAUGGAAGGACCUCAGAGAAAAGAAACAAAGGAAAGAAAACUGGAUGGAUAAAGUAAAGAUCUUGCCAGCUGGUGCCUGGGUGCAUAGACUGCCUAUGGCUCUUGAAUUGCAUGCUGAAAACUUCAUAAUGAAACCAGAAAAUCACAGAAGCAUAAACACAGCUGCUUAUGCCUAUAAAUUAUUGCUGGUGAAAAGGAUGUUUAAGCAGAGUGAGAGACUCUCAGCAAAAAAAGGUAACUGAAAGAGUGGUAAGUCAGACAAAGAAGAAAAAUGCCAAAGAAGAGGGUCAAGAACAACUCAUAUGACUCCGAAAUCCCUUACCCACAUUGGAGUUAUAAAAAGUUCAGGAGCUGGAGACAAAA